rnacentral:rRNA from 1 species
AUACGUAGGUGGCAAGCGUUGUCCGGAAUUAUUGGGCGUAAAGCGCGCGCAGGCGGUUCCUUAAGUCUGAUGUGAAAUCUCGCGGCUCAACCGUGAGCGGUCAUUGGAAACUGGGGAACUUGAGUGCAGGAGAGAAGAGCGGAAUUCCACGUGUAGCGGUGAAAUGCGUAGAGAUGUGGAGGAACACCAGUGGCGAAGGCGGCUCUUUGGCCUGUAACUGACGCUGAGGCGCGAAAGCGUGGGGAGCAAACAGGAUUAGAUACCCUGGUAGUCCACGCCGUAAACGAUGAGUGCUAGGUGUUAGAGGGUUUCCGCCCUUUAGUGCUGCAGCUAACGCAUUAAGCACUCCGCCUGGGGAGUACGGCCGCAAGGCUGAA